rnacentral:lncRNA from 1 species
ACCAACUCUGUUGCGCUGUGCACUGCCGUGCGUUUAACCCAGGCGCGGAGGAGGAGGAGAAAAUCCCCCCAGAUCCGGGCAGGUUUCUCUGCCUUUUGGGCCCUGCACAACUGUUAGCCUGGUGGAAAAGUGCAAAUUGCUCCUGCUCUCCCAGCAGAUUGGUCCUGCUUUGCUUGCAGCCUCAGCAGAAUUUUGAGCCUGAGCUGAAGCGCCUCACUUGGACGUGCACGCACCCCACUUGGGCACGUCUGGAUCAGA